GAGUUUGAUCGUGGCUCAGGAUGAACGCUGGCGGCGUGCCUAAUACAUGCAAGUCGAGCGAACGGACGAGAAGCUUGCUUCUCUGAUGUUAGCGGCGGACGGGCGAGUAACACGUGGAUAACCUACCUAUAAGACUGGGAUAACUUCGGGGAAACCGGAGCUAAUACCGGAUAAUAUUUUGAACCGCAUGGUUCAAAAGUGAAAGACGGUCUUGCUGUCACUUAUAGAUGGAUCCGCGCUGCAUUAGCUAGUUGGUAAGGUAACGGCUUACCAAGGCAACGAUGCAUAGCCGACCUGAGAGGGUGAUCGGCCACACUGGAACUGAGACACGGUCCAGACUCCUACGGGAGGCAGCAGUAGGGAAUCUUCCGCAAUAGGCGAAAGCCUGACGGAGCAACGCCGCGUGAGUGAUGAAGGUCUUCGGAUCGUAAAACUCUGUUAUUAGGGAAGAACAUAUGUGUAAGUAACUGUGCACAUCUUGACGGUACCUAAUCAGAAAGCCACGGCUAACUACGUCG
rnacentral:rRNA from 1 species